AAUAAAUACCUACUUAAUCUUUUUCCAUCUCGAAAUCAAAACCUUUAUCUUAAUUUUAACCCAAAACCUUCUAUAUACUAGUACUGCAAAGGAAAAAUUAAAUUUAUUUAAAGUAAAAAUAAAAACUUGUACCUUGUGCAUCAUGGCUUAGCAAACCAAUCCUAAUCUAGCCUCACCCGAAAUCUUCACGAGCUGAAAAUAAUUUGUAUAGAACCCACUACUAAAUGUCUCAUAAUUUUUAGAAAAAUUUUUUUUUCAGAAGCUACAUACCUACCGCGUAAGUCAAUAGCUGGUUUUUCAAAAUCAUCACAUUAGUGAUCUAAGACUAAAUCUCUUAUAAAUAAUAAAGGAAAAGCUUUAUUAUUAUAGCUAGCUAACCUACCAUCAUCUUAAAGUAGGCCUAAAGCCCGCCACCUUCUAAACCACGUUAUAGUGUAAAUCUUUAAAAAUAAUAUUUUACUCUCCCUGCCAAACCCAUAAUUAUUGAAAACUUCUUAUAAACUAUUUUAAUUCAUAAUUCUGCUAAGAUUAGUAUUUAACCCAUUAUUUAAAUUAAUAAAAUAAUAAAUUUUUAAAAAUAACAACUUUACACUAAGGAACUCGGCAAACAUAAAGCUCCGACUGUUUAACAAAAACAUUGCCUCUUGACUUUCUAAUAAGAGGUUCAUCCUGCCCAAUGACUAAAUUAGUUAAAUGGCCGCGGUAUCCUGACCGUGCAAAGGUAGCAUAAUCAUUUGCCCCUUAAUUAGGGGCUAGUAUGAAAGGACAAACGAAAGCUUCCCUGUCUCAUUGUAGUAACCAAAAAUUAAUCUUCAAGUGAAAAAGCUUGAAUAAAAUUGUAGGACAAGAAGACCCCGUUGAGCUUAAUUUUUAAUAGAAAACAUUAUUUACUACUAUAAUUCUUAACCUAGCCUAAAAUUUAGUUGGGGUGACUAAGGAAUACCAAAAACUUCCUCUCCGAACCCAGGAUCAUUCUCCACUUUAAUUGACCCUCAACCGAGAUCAAAAAAAUAAGCUACCACAGGGAUAACAGGCUAAUCUUUCUUAAGAGUUCAAAUUGUCAGAAAGGAUUGGCACCUCGAUGUUGGCUUAGGGGCCCCUAACGGUGCAGAAGCCGUAAAGGUAGGUUUGUUCAACCUUUAAAACCCUACAUGAGCUGAGUUCAGACCGGCGCAAGCCAGGUUAGUUUCUAUCCCCAAAAUAAAUCUUUACAUAAUAGUACGAAAGGACCUUACUGUAAUAAAAACUUUAAUAUUCUUGACAUAAAAUAAACCCAUUUAAAAUAAAUAAUCUAAUUAAAAUUUAAU
rnacentral:rRNA from 1 species